rnacentral:rRNA from 1 species
GAUGAACGCUGGCGGCGUGCUUAACACAUGCAAGUCGAACGGAAAGGCCCUGAUUUUGUGGGGUGCUCGAGUGGCGAACGGGUGAGUAACACGUGAGUAACCUGCACUUGAAUUUGGGAUAACUUCAGGAAACUGGGGCUAUUACCGGAUAGGAGCUCUUGCUGCAUGGUGGGGGUUGGAAAGUUUCGGCGGUUGGGGAUGGACUCGCGGCUUAUCAGCUUGUUGGUCGGGUAGUGGCGUACGAAGGUUUUGACGGGUAGCCGGCCUGAGAGGGUGACCGGCGUCAUGGGGACUGAGAUACGGCCCAGACUCCUACGGGAGGCAGCAGUGGGGAGUAUUGCGCAAUGGGCGGAAGCCUGAUGCAGCAACGCCGCGUGCGGGAUGACGGCCUACGAGUGGUGAACCGCUUUCGCCUGUGACGAAGCGUGAGUGGCGGUAAUGGGUAAGGAAGCACCGGCUAACUACGUG